rnacentral:tRNA from 1 species
GUGGGUAUAGCUCAGUGGUAGAGCACAUGCUUAGCAUGCACAAGAUCCUGGGUUCAAUCCCCAGUACCUCCA